ACUUGCAAAUAGCAUGUCUUGUUAAUUAAUUACACUAACCCACCCACCCCUACAGCUUUCUUCUCACUCUUAUCAUCAUCUACCUCUUUGUUUCUCUCUCUUUUUCUCUGUCUAAUUGUUACCGAGUUACCUUUUUCAAUCUUUUUACAAUUUCUCUGUCUUUCCAAUAGUCCAUAGAAGCUUGCAUUGAAAUAAAUGAAUAUAUUUUCAAUCCCUCUCGACUUUCCUCUGUUUACUUUGUGUUGUUACGCUUCAAAUUGUAAUGUUAAUAUUUUCCUUUUUUGCCAUUUCUAUAUUAUCAAUUGAAGUUGUUUUUUUUUGUUGAUUGUUAAUUAACGCUUUUCACCUUUUUGUUUUCCUAAUUUCACUUCUCUUUUUGUUCAUUUUUUGUUCAACGUUUUAACCCAUUUACCUGAUGCUGAUACUUUCUGGACUCUCAUAUCACAUCUUUUCAUCAUCAGAUUCUCAUCUUCUGUGGUUUAAAUUAACCUCAAGAGGGACUCAAGACUAUUUAUAUUUAUGAGUGUUAACUAAACAUUGGUUAACUGUCAAAUUGUAUAAUAAAAUAACUCAAUGAACCUCCUUUUUACUCAAAAACUAAAGCCCAUCAAUCAAAUAAUAUUAACCCUUAACAUGAUUUUUAUUUUCCCUUCUCUUCCUUUACUAACUUCCACUGGUUAACACCUUUUACCUUGUUAUUAUAUCUUCUUCUCUCGUGGCUCCUUUCCAAUCAUUUUGAACACAUUUAUUUCAUGUUGAAGUGUAAAGAAGGAUGGAAAUAACCAGCCAAAGGAAAGCCUCUCAAUCAGCUGAUA